UGGGGAAUUUUGGACAAUGGGCGAAAGCCUGAUCCAGCAAUGCCGCGUGUGUGAAGAAGGCCUUCGGGUUGUAAAGCACUUUUGUCCGGAAAGAAAUCCUCUGGUUAAUACUCGGGGGAUGACGGUACCGGAAGAAUAAGCACCGGCUAACUACGUGCCAGCAGCCGCGGUAAUACGUAGGGUGCAAGCGUUAAUCGGAAUUACUGGGCGUAAAGCGUGCGCAGGCGGUUUUGUAAGACGGAUGUGAAAUCCCCGGGCUUAAACCUGGGGAAACUGCAUUGCGUGACUGCAAGGCUAGAGUAUGGCAGAGGGGGGUAGAAUUCCACGUGUAGCAGUGAAAUGCGUAGAGAUGUGGAGGAAUACCGAUGGCGAAGGCAGCCCCCUGGGCCAAAUACUGACGCUCAUGCACGAAAAGCGUGGGGAGCAAAACAGGAUUAGAUACCCUGGUAGUCCACGCCCUAAAACGAUGUCAACUAGUUGUUGGGGAUUCAUUUCCUUAGUAACGUAGCUAACGCGUGAAGUUGACCGCCUGGGGAGUACGGUCGCAAGAUUAAAAACUCAAAUGAAUUGACGGGGUCAUAGCUGUUUCCU
rnacentral:rRNA from 1 species